GGAACGUAAACCUCUGUUGUUCAUGACGAACGAGCUUUUUAUCAACAACGAAGAGCAGUGACGGUAGUGAACGAGGAAGCCACGGCUAACUACGUGCCAGCAGCCGCGGUAAUACGUAGGUGGCAAGCGUUGUCCGGAAUUAUUGGGCGUAAAGCGCAUGUAGGCGGUUUGGUAAGUCGGUCGUGAAAAUGCGGUGCUUAACGCCGUAUGGCGAUCGAAACUGCGGAACUUGAGUGCAGGAGAGGAAAGGGGAACUCCCAGUGUAGCGGUGAAAUGCGUAGAUAUUGGGAAGAACACCGGUGGCGAAGGCGCCUUUCUGGACUGUGUCUGACGCUCAGAUGCGAAAGCCAGGGUAGCGAACGGGAUUAGAUACCCCGGUAGUCCUGGCCGUAAA
rnacentral:rRNA from 1 species